AUUGAAUAGAGUCACGUUUUUUUAAUUGUGAAGAAUGUGUGCUUUGCUCAGUAAGCCUCACAGAAAGAAAGAGAGAGCGAAAGAGUAACUCAUA